GACGAACGCUGGCGGCGUGCUUAACACAUGCAAGUCGAACGAAGUGGCGAACGGGUGAGUAACGCGUAAUCAACCUGCCCUACACUAGAGGACAACAGUUGGAACCGGCUGCUAAUACUCUAUAGUGUAGGAUGAGGCUAUAUUGUAUCAGCUAGUUGGUGAGGUAAUGGCUCACCAAGGCUAUGACGCAUAACUGGUCUGAGAGGAUGAUCAGUCACACUGGAACUGAGGCACGGUCCGGACUCAAAGGGGAGGCAGCAGUAGGGAAUAGUGCUCAAUGGGGGAAAACCUGAAGCAGCAACGGGGCGUGGAGGAUGACACUUUUCGGAGAGUAAACUCCUUUUGUUAGGGAAGCGGUACCUAACGAAUAAGCACCGGCUAACUCCGUGCCAGCCGCCGCGGUAAUAC
rnacentral:rRNA from 1 species